rnacentral:sRNA from 1 species
CUUUUUAAAAUACCCAAAAACAAGGCAUCUUUCAAUGCUAAGCUUGUCCUUGGACUAAUAUGCCGUCAGUUUGUGACAAAGAAGGUGAAUGAGAUGUGGAUUGUAUUCGGCGGUCAUCCAAUCAGAUUUGGAUUAAGAGAAUUUAGUAUCUUAACUAGGCUGGAAUGUGGGAAGUAUCCCAAGAAGAAAGACGUUGAUGAUGUUAUCAGUGUGAAACCUGAGUGUCAGAGUGUUUGGAAGACUCUGUUUGAUGAGAGGUUUGGGGAGACGGUUCCAACAAUUGCUGAUUUGGUGAGCUGGCUGCAGGAGGAGGAAAGCAUGGAGGGGUGGAAGCAACUGGCACUAUCUCUUAUUAUUUUGGUUGACGGUGUGGUAGCGGCUCACAGUAACCCCAACAGGCCUACUUCGAAGACUGUCGAGAUGACUAAGAACCUGGAGUUUUUCUGCAAAUACCCAUGGGGAAGGGUGUCCUUUACCCGUACUUUGGGGAGGAUAGCAAAUUUCCAAACUCCUUACGAUGCUCACAAACUAAUAAGGGGUAUACUUGUAGGGUCUUAUGCACUCCAUGGCUUCCCAUUAGCUCUCCAGCUUUUAGCUUUCGAAACAAUCCCAUCAAUUGCUAAGCUAGGACCUGAUGAUGUACCUAACAGGACAUUUACUGAGAGGUCUAUCCAUCGUCUUGCCUCUCUGCGAGCAAUCCGGACAUCUCGCAUUUUGGAGUGUGAGGCUGCUGAUGAGGUGUGUUAAAUUGUGUAUGUACGUACAUAAUAAGUAAAUGUACAUUAUCUAUGGUUAACAUACUUAUUUGUGUAGGUUGAGGUCAACUAUAUUGUGAAACCAGCUGAUAAUGUUUGUCCUCCAUCUCUUUCAUGGGAUGAUGAAGUUGAUGAUCCAAGGGUUGAUUACAUUGAGGCACUGUUGAUAGAUGGGCACCAGUGGCAGGAGGAUGAAUGGGUUGGAGGCUAUGCUAGAGUACCAAAGCAGUCGCGCCCACCACAACUAGAAGAGACACGUAAGUAUAAGUAUAA